rnacentral:tmRNA from 1 species
GGGGAUGACAGGCUUCGACGGGAGAGGCUGGUCCCAGACUGCGAGCCGAGAGGUACCGACCUCGAUAAAUCAGUACAAAAAAACAAGUGCCAAUCGCACAAAUACUUACGCUGCAAUGCCCCUCGCUGCAUAGUUAGGGACUAGUAGCCUAAUGGUUCUUGCGAGAACCACGUCUAUCUACCCCGCUCUCCAACCGGUGGAAGCAUAGGCGACACAAUGUUGGAGUGCCGUAUUUCAAUCUGCGGGAAAUAUGAAAGAGGACUUUCGGGUCUGAGCAGGUAGCGCUAUGUCAGUUUUGUUGGUUGUCUGAUGUAGAUGUGAAAUGAUCAACUUACUACGCUCGUAGAUGUCUGCUGAUCUAUUCUUUCGGACGCGGGUUCGAGUCCCGCCAUCUCCACAG